GAUGAACGCUGGCGGCGUGCCUAAUACAUGCAAGUCGAGCGAACGGACGAGAAGCUUGCUUCUCUGAUGUUAGCGGCGGACGGGUGAGUAACACGUGGAUAACCUACCUAUAAGACUGGGAUAACUUCGGGAAACCGUAGCUAAUACCGGAUAAUAUUUUGAACCAUGGUUCAAAAGUGAAAGACGGUCUUGCUGUCACUUAUAGAUGGAUCCGCGCUGCAUUAGCUAGUUGGUAAGGUAACGGCUUACCAAGGCAACGAUGCAUAGCCGACCUGGGAGGGUGAUCGGCCGCACUGGAACUGAGACACGGUCCAGACUCCUACGGGAGGCAGCAGUAGGGAAUCUUCCGCAAUGGGCGAAAGCCUGACGGAGCAACGCCGCGUGAGUGAUGAAGGUCUUCGGAUCGUAAAACUCUGUUAUUAGGGAAGAACAUAUGUGUAAGUAACUGUGCACAUCUUGACGGUACCUAAUCAGAAAGCCACGGCUAACUACGUG
rnacentral:rRNA from 1 species